rnacentral:rRNA from 1 species
GAUGGAGGGACGGAGAAGGCUAGGCCAGCUUGGCGUUGGUUGUCCAAGUUUAAGGUUGUAGGCCGAACACUUAGGCAAAUCCGGGUGUUCAAGGCCGAGAGCUGAUGACGAGCUUUCUUUUAGAGAGCGAAGUGGUUGAUGCCAUGCUUCCAGGAAAAGCUUCUAAGCUUCAGGUAACUAGGAACCGUACCCGAAACCGACACAGGUGGUCGGGUAGAGAAUACCAAGGCGCUUGAGAGAACUCGGGUGAAGGAACUAGGCAAAAUGGCACCGUAACUUCGGGAGAAGGUGCGCCGGUGAGGGUGAAGUAUUUACUGCGUAAGCCCACGCCGGUCGAAGAUACCAGGCCGCUGCGACUGUUUAUUAAAAACACAGCACUCUGCAAACACGAAAGUGGACGUAUAGGGUGUGACGCCUGCCCGGUGCCGGAAGGUUAAUUGAUGGGGUUAGCGAAAGCGAAGCUCUUGAUCGAAGCCCCGGUAAACGGCGGCCGUAACUAUAACGGUCCUAAGGUAGCGAAAUUCCUUGUCGGGUAAGUUCCGACCUGCACGAAUGGCGUAACGAUGGCGGCGCUGUCUCCACCCGAGACUCAGUGAAAUUGAAAUCGCUGUGAAGAUGCAGUGUAUCCGCGGCUAGACGGAAAGACCCCGUGAACCUUUACUGUAGCUUUGCACUGGACUUUGAGCCUGCUUGUGUAGGAUAGGUGGGAGGCUUUGAAGCGUGGACGCCAGUUCGCGUGGAGCCAACCUUGAAAUACCACCCUGGCAUGCUUGAGGUUCUAACUCUGAUCCGUUAUCCGGAUCGAGGACAGUGUAUGGUGGGCAGUUUGACUGGGGCGGUCUCCUCCUAAAGAGUAACGGAGGAGUACGAAGGUGCGCUCAGACCGGUCGGAAAUCGGUCGCAGAGUAUAAAGGCAAAAGCGCGCUUGACUGCGAGACAGACACGUCGAGCAGGUACGAAAGUAGGUCUUAGUGAUCCGGUGGUUCUGUAUGGAAGGGCCAUCGCUCAACGGAUAAAAGGUACUCCGGGGAUAACAGGCUGAUACCGCCCAAGAGUUCAUAUCGACGGCGGUGUUUGGCACCUCGAUGUCGGCUCAUCACAUCCUGGGGCUGAAGCCGGUCCCAAGGGUAUGGCUGUUCGCCAUUUAAAGUGGUACGCGAGCUGGGUUUAGAACGUCGUGAGACAGUUCGGUCCCUAUCUGCCGUGGACGUUUGAGAUUUGAGAGGGGCUGCUCCUAGUACGAGAGGACCGGAGUGGACGAACCUCUGGUGUUCCGGUUGUCACGCCAGUGGCACUGCCGGGUAGCUAUGUUCGGAAUAGAUAACCGCUGAAAGCAUCUAAGCGGGAAACUAGCCUCAAGAUGAGAUCUCACUGGGAACUUGAUUCCCCUAAAGGGCCGUCGAAGACUACGACGUUGAUAGGUCGGGUGUGUAAGCGCUGUGAGGCGUUGAGCUAACCGAUACUAAUUGCCCGUGAGGCUUGACCAUAUAACACCCAAACAAUU